AAGAUUGGAAGCUGAACCGAGUGACUCAAGUCUCGGAAAAUUCAAACUGGUGGAUUGUAAAUUGACAAAGGCCCUAUCAACAAAUCUCCAUAUUUUAAAGAAGUCCAUAUUAAAUGAUAUUUGUCUUCAAACUUAACCGGAAAUAAUUAAAUAAAUUUCCAAAUUUAAUGUUUAUCACCAUUUAUGUUAAUUUCGUAAUAAUUUUUUUUUUUUGCAAAAGUUAAAGGAUUGAAAGAAAUUUAUUAUGUCAUUCCUUUUUGAUUUUAUUUUGCAAUCACUCAAGAUUAGGUUUAACUUUUUUAUGUACAACGUUUUGAUUUUACAAUAUAAUUGAGUUUAUAUUGUCCAGGCAUAACAUAAAUGUCACAUAUCCCAUAAAAUACAUAAAAUAAUUAAUCAAAAUUAAUUGUUGAUUUUGAUUAGAUAACGAAAUUGGUAAGCAAAGUAUAUCAUUGUGUUGGAAAAUCUAUGCACUUCCCUUAAUUGUAUAAUUCAAAAUUUCAUCAUAAACUUAAAUUACCAACCAACCGUUGAUGCCGCAAAAUAAUUGAUGGAAAGAAAAUCAAUUACUUUUAAUUCUGAUUAUUCUAAAUUUGAAGCCACGAAAAUAUUUAAGUUUAAUCAAAA